AGGCUUCUUGCUGGAACUCUGCCCACUGUGGUGGAUUAUUACAGUCCUUAAGGGUCUUUAUUGCAACCAGCUGAGCAUGGUCCAUUCCUGGCUGUCUUUGCACUGGCGGAGAAGAUGACUUCUGGUUAUUCCGGCAAAUACAGAUGAAGAAAAACAGUAAGGCAAUAGCCAGAGGAAUUGUAACACUGGGCACCAAUAUAUAGAGGAUUUCCAUUUUAUUCUUUUCCUUGGAGUCCUUUGUAUCUAAUUCAGGGGGGAAAAAAAGGGAGGAGGGGGAAACAGCAGGGAUAGAAAAAAUGCAAUAAUUGUAAACAGUGAAUUUUUUAUAUAUAAAGAUGUAUGAAACCUAUUGCAGUUUUUUCAUUCUUAUAAUUUUAUUUCUUGAUUGAGCAGCAACAGCAUAGAUUCUCUCACUUGAGACCUUCGUGUUAUCAAGUUUGACCUCACUGAGAUAAAUCAAUUCAUGGCUAUCUGCAGGUAGCCAUACUUUCAACUGGGAAAUCUUAGCUUAUUCAGCAACAACCCCCUCCCCUCCCCCCCCCAGGUCAUCGUUUAUGAAUUUGUUCAGUAGCUAUAGCUUAUUAAAUGAACUUCAAGGAGCACCUUUAACACUGCUAACAAGCACUUACCUCUACCUGUAUAUUUAUUGUUGCAGCUUAUAUAUCUCUGAAAGGUCUGACACAUGCCAUUGUUGUGUGUUUCUACAGUAAGGAUUUAAGAAUGGCUAAGUAUACAGCAGGAAAAGCUAGACAAAACAAUACACAUCCCCACAAACUGGUGGUGUUUGCUCUGCAAUCAGCCACAUUAGACAUGACAAGAACAAGAAUCCUUGGGCAUUAAAUAACAAAAGUUUUCUAUUGCUGUUUUUUUAAAGGCCAAUAGGUAGUUUUGCAACACAAAGAUGUCUUAACUACAGGAGGAAAAAUGGCUUUCUCUGUGGAGUGUGGGUUUAUGUAAGUAACAUUAGAAAAAUACUCAUCCGCAAUGCCAGUGGUGCAAUACAUAAAUGGCUGUCUGUCUGUGAAACUCUUCCACCCAGUGAAUUUUGCCAAAUCUUUUUGAUUAUACUGGACAUUUGCCAACAGAUAUCUUGGCCAAACCAAAUUUGGCGGAAUGUUUUUCAGAUCUUUUAGGUAAAAGCUACAUGGAUAAUGGCUAUUACAACAAAAGAACCAACAGAUACAAUUGUUUAGAAACCUGAAGAUAAGAGGCUCUGUGUUUUCUUAUCGCUCUCCGGGUAUACUUUCAUUUCUAAAAAACAAGUGCAGCUUAAUCUGCAAAUCCUUUUUUUUUUCCCUAAUUGUACUCUUACAUAUGGAGUUGCAACCCUAAGCUGACCAGAUGGGAAAGCUGUGUAUUAAAACAGCAUUUUGGCCUGUCUUUAUAUAUUUUUUUUCCUGUCAAUUCUCAAAUUCAGAUGAUUAAAAAUCAUUUUGUCU